AGGACGAACGCUGGCGGCGUGCUUAACACAUGCAAGUCGUGCGGAAAGGCCCCUUCGGGGGUGCUCGAGCGGCGAACGGGUGAGUAACACGUGAGUGACCUGCCCUCCACUCUGGGAUAACCCUCGGAAACGGGGGCUAAUACCGGAUAUGACCUGCUGCUGCAUGGUGGUGGGUGGAAAGGCUUUUGCUGGUGGGGGAUGGGCUCGCGGCCUAUCAGCUUGUUGGUGGGGUAAUGGCCUACCAAGGCGGUGACGGGUAGCCGGCCUGAGAGGGCGACCGGCCACACUGGGACUGAGACACGGCCCAGACUCCUACGGGAGGCAGCAGUGGGGAAUAUUGCACAAUGGGCGAAAGCCUGAUGCAGCGACGCCGCGUGAGGGAUGACGGCCUUCGGGUUGUAAACCUCUUUCAGCUCCGACGAAGCGCAAGUGACGGUAGGAGCAGAAGAAGCGCCGGCCAACUACGUGCCAGCAGCCGCGGUAAGACGUAGGGCGCGAGC
rnacentral:rRNA from 1 species